UACUUUCAUUCUCGAAUUCUAUUUUUUUAAAAAAUUUUUAUUUAAAUUUUUUAAGUUAUUACAAUCAAAUCGUAUAACCUAAUUUAGAUUACCAAAUAUUGAUAUAUCGCUCAUAUAGAGGUGAUAUAAUAAUAUUAUGAUGGAUGAUAUAUAUAUCAAUAAUUAAGAUGUCACAUCAUUUUUACAUCAACGAUCGAUUCAUUCGAAUUUAGUCAACUAAAUUAGUUUGUGAGACUUGAUUAAUAAUACAUCAAUAAUUAAAAUGUUAUAUUAGUUUUACAUUAAUGAUGUAUUCAAAUCUAGUCAAUUAAAUUAGUUUGUGGGAUUUAAUUACAUCCAUUCUGAAAGUUCAAGUAAAAAAUUAUAAAAAAAUUAAAGUUUAUGGGCAAUUUAUCCUUAAUUUUUUUAGGAAAAACUUCAAAAACCCCCCCUGUGGUUUCGUGCAUUCUCACUUUGCUACCCUGUGGUUUAAAACGUAUCAAUUUAGCCCCCUGUGGUUUCAUUUUUAUCUUUUCGGAAGCUUUUUCGUUAAUAUUUCGUUAAAUUAUAUACAAAAAACUUCAGAUAACCAUCUAUAUUUAUCGAAUAGUCACUUUAGUAUUCUUUAAUUUUAACUUUGUCACUGAUUUUAAAAAAAAAUAAUAAUAAAAUUGAUAACAAAAAGAUAAAAACGAAACCACAGUGGGGCAAAAUGAUACGUUUUAAACCACAGGGUAGCAAAGUGAGAAUGCACGAAACCACAGGGGUGGUUUUUGAAGUUUUUCCAUUUUUUUAUCAUUUACCAAGGAUAAAUUUG
rnacentral:lncRNA from 1 species